UACGUAGGGGGCGAGCGUUGUCCGGAUUUAUUGGGCGUAAAAGGCUUGUAGGUGGCCACGUCAAGUCGGAUGUGAAAUCUCCCGGCUCAACUGGGAGGGGUCAUUCGAUACUGGCGGGCUCGAGGCCGGUAGGGGGAAGCGGAAUUCCCGGUGUAGUGGUGGAAUGCGUAGAUAUUCGCAAGAACACCAGUGGCGAAGGCGGCUCACUGGCCCGGUACUGACGCUGAGGUGCGAAAGCGUGGGGAGCAAACAGG
rnacentral:rRNA from 1 species